rnacentral:rRNA from 1 species
GACGUAGGGCGCGAGCGUUGUCCGGAUUUAUUGGGCGUAAAGAGCUCGUAGGCGGCUUGUCGCGUCGAAUGUGAAAACUCGGGGCUCAACUCCGAGCUUGCAUUCGAUACGGGCAGGCUAGAGUUCGGUAGGGGGAGACUGGAAUUCCUGGUGUAGCGGUGAAAUGCGCAGAUAUCAGGAGGAACACUGGUGGCGAAGGCGGGUCUCUGGGCCGAUACUGACGCUGAGGAGCGAAAGCGUGGGGAGCGAACAGG